rnacentral:rRNA from 1 species
CAGCCGCCACGGUGAUACGUAGGGGGCUAGCGUUGCUCGGAAUUACUGGGCGUAAAGGGAGCGUAGGCGGACUGUUUAGUCAGAGGUGAAAGCCCAGGGCUCAACCUUGGAGUUGCCUUUGAUACUGGCAGUCUUGAGUACGGAAGAGGUAUGUGGAACUCCGAGUGUAGAGGUGAAAUUCGUAGAUAUUCGGAAGAACACCAGUGGCGAAGGCGACAUACUGGUCCGUUACUGACGCUGAGGCUCGAAAGCGUGGGGAGCAAACAGGAUUAGAUACCCGAGUAGUCCCUGUCCCUUAUAC